UUUCUGCACAACAAAAGCUUAAUAUCAAAAAGAAGGCAGAUGUUACCAACAUCAAAAAUACUUAACAUAAUUACUAAAUGCUACCAUCUCCUUUCCUACAGUGAGAACAAAUUGGUUCCUUUCUACUUGAUGCCUCCUCGUUGGACCUGGCUGGUUAAUUUUGAUGUUUCAUUUGGAUUUCUGUUCUGGUUGAGAAGCACAACUCGUGCUUAUUCACAAUCAAAUUUUGUGAGAACAAAUUGGUUCCUUUCUACUUGAUGCCUCCUCGUUGGACCUGGCUGGUUAAUUUUGAUGUUUCAUUUGGAUUUCUGUUCUGGUUAAGAAGCAUGACUCGUUCCUUUUCACAUUCAAAUUUUGUGAGAACAAAUUGGUUCCUUUCUACUUGAUGCCUCCUCGUUGGACCUGGCUGGUUAAUUUUGAUGUUUCAUUUGGAUUUCUGUUCUGGUUAAGAAGCAUGACUCGUUCCUUUUCACAUUCAAAUUUUGUGAGAACAAAUUGGUUCCUUUCUACUUGAUGCCUCCUCGUUGGACCUGGCUGGUUAAUUUUGAUGUUUUAUUUGGAUUUCUGUUCUUGUUAAG